AUUUGAUGAUGAGGACACUUUCUCAAUAGGUCCUUGAACCUUUCCCAUGCCUCAUAUAUUGACUUGAUCUCACCCUACACAAAAGAAGAAAAUUCAUCUAAUAUU
rnacentral:snoRNA from 1 species